ensembl:lncRNA
CCCACUCGCAACACGCUGCUCUCUUUAAUUACUGCAAAGCGUUGCGUGAAGGACGGUGUCAUCUCGUUACGUUGUCCCUCUGAGUGGUUGAACAGACGCUCUGCUCAGUAGAGACUUGGCCCUUGCUGUGUGAUGUUUAAUAAAACGCACAUACUUGUAACAGUGUCAUCAUGUGUUGCUACUUUAGCAGGUCUACAUGGCAUUCAGGUUCACAGGUUCCUGGCGCUGUGUCAAAUUGAAUUUAAUAAUCCAACAUAAUAAGCAUCCCCAGCUGCCUGUAGAAAACAGACACAUUACCAGCUAUUACACAUGAUUCGUUAUCAAGGAGGGAAAAUACGGCUUCACGAGACAAUCUCAAAUGAUAAUAGUGAACACAGUUUCUGCAUGAAAGCACUUAACAUCAGCUGGAGACACAAUUCUGGAAAUUGGAGGCGAAUAUUUGCCCUUGUGGAUUUCCUGUUGUCUAUUAGGAGACUAAAAGAUGUUUGAUUAUGUCUCGGUUGUUGGUCCCAAGACUGUCUCUGCAUCUCUAAGCCUCUCAGGGAAACCUCUCCUCUGCUGCAGACACACCUUGACAGCGCUCUACCCUGCCGUGGAGAGUGAGACAUGGCUAUGGGAAUAGGAGAGGUGGAUUUUAGAACUGCAGAUGUCAAACUGCUGCUGCUGCAGAGACCAUCAGUGCACUAAUCCGGCUGCUGAAUACUGCUGGUUAGCAGAGCACGCGCGUGGUGAUGGAUGUUGUAGUCUUACAGCAUUUAUUGCUCCUAAUGGCUGUUACGCUCAUGAAACGUUUCCUCAGCCAGACUUUAAGGUUAGUAGGCAAUCAAUGUUAUUUCCAUUUUGCCAUCAGCUUGGUGUUACGCACUCAUUGCUGCUAUACAUGAGCAGGUAACUAUUUGUUAUUUUUUCGAUUAGUCAUAGUAAUUGCAGUAGAAGAAGAGAAAGCAGUCCCCCUUUGAGGACCAGUUCUCGGUCUCACAUGUAAACUAAUAGACCCUUGUCCAAGUUGCCAUUCUGACUCACGGAGCAGGUAGAAUGUAAAGAGGUGCUUGUGUGAUGUGGUGUGGCACUUCCACACAGCUGAAGGACGCACAACAGGCAGCAUUCUUACAUAUAGCAGAAAUGUGAAGAGCAUUUUCACCUUGCAGUUUACAACGUCUGCUUUCUGAUCCCAAUGUGAAUAACUUUAUAUUCUAUGAGCGCCAACAUCAGAUGCCAUUAGGCCAGCGUGCACAGCAGUAGCGUGCUGACCAUUUUCCUCCACACCGGGUGAAAAGCUACAGAGAAACCUCUUGCAUACUAUAAUACUAAUAAUUAUUAAAUAUUUUGCCUGAUGGCCUGCAGGUAGAAACUGCUCCCCAGUCCGUCACAGUUAUUCUUUGUUCCACUUCCAGGGCAAAUAGGAAAACCCAAAUCUAUUUUGUUACAUCAGACUGAAAAACAAGCUCACUUCAGGCUGCCUUCUCUCUCAGAAGUGGAGCACAUCUUCCAUCGAUUUGUUUUCCUCAGCCAAAUCUUUCUGUCAGCCUUUUGCCCGUGCAUGGCGGCUUUUCUCCCACUCUGCCAUACCCUGGUUUUCCCUUGCAUGUUUUUCUUGUGUUGCUCUUAUUUUCACACCUCUAUAUUUUCGUCCCUCCUUCCUCAGAGGUCCAGUCUCCCAGAGUGUCAGCGACUGUCUUAACGAUCUCUCUCCCGCUCACAUUCACUUCAUCCAGCCAUCCAUCUCUCCACCCCUUUCCAUCUAUUAUUCAUGAAUCUUUUUCAGAGAAAAACAGGAAUAAAAAUCCAUCUGCAGCUUCAAGACCUCCCCUCUUACGCAGCACACACUCUGCAGUGAGGUCGUUUCAGACCGAUUUUACUGCUGUCUGCUCAGCAGGACUCCUGACUGCUUGAGUAGAAAAUACAGUUUGAAUAUAUGAUAAAGAUAUUUAGACAAUUUGGAACAAAUUUGAAAUAUUAGCGAGCGUUUUAAACAGCGUGAAAGUAU